GAUUUGAGAUGGCCUCUCGCCCUAUUCAGUGUAACAGCUGUGGUAGUGGGUUUGGUCGCUCGCAUUUAAAUUGGAAGGGUAAUGGUGGACCGCACUUCUCCCUUAGUAGGACGUUGCGACCUGUCAAAUAAUAUCCUAAGUAUUUGGCUAAUUUGUCUGUUUUUAGGCAGUACUGAAAGGUAUUUCCUUUAACAGUUUUAGCCGUUUACAUACUGGAUAUAAUUGACAGUAACGAAUCAUGGUGUUGAGCCACUUACUUUGUAAGUGUCCUUUAUGGCUGUUUGCAAGUGGGUUGGUUAAUUAGUUUUAGUCGGAUUUUGGUCCGUCUAACUAUUCCGCCUACUGUUGGUAAACUGUUCCUUGGACAGUGCUUAUAACACCGGUCGGCAGCGAUUCAGGUUCAGGCUCUUAUCCGACCCGUCUUGAAACACGGACCAAGGAGUUUAGCGUGUACGCAAGUCAUUGGGUGUAUAAAACCCAAAGGCGCA
rnacentral:rRNA from 1 species